rnacentral:rRNA from 1 species
AGUCUCAGUUCGGAUUGCAGGCUGCAACCCGCCUGCAUGAAGUUGGAAUCGCUAGUAAUCGCGGAUCAGAAUGCCGCGGUGAAUACGUUCCCGGGCCUUGUACACACCGCCCGUCACACCAUGAGAGUCGGGAACACCCGAAGUCCGUAGCCUAACAGCAAUGAGGGCGCGGCCGAAGGUGGGUUCGAUAAUUGGGGUGAAGUCGUAACAAGGUAUC